GUCAGAUUUGCCAAAUGGAGGACGAGGGAGAGCUUUGUUCCGCGUCUCUGUGUGUGGAGUAAAGGUGGUCUAGAGGUCCCCCCCCCCGGUUGCACGUGACAUACCGGUAGAAAUUAGGAAAACGGAUGUAUGUUGCCCUGCAUUAAAGUCCCCGGCUACUUGGAGCGUCGCUUCUGUAUUUUCCUGUUUGCUUACGGCCUUAUACAGACCGUUGAGUGUGAGGUCUUCUGGUGGUUUGUGGUGGUCAAUAAACAGCUAGGAAACAAUAUAGAUGAAAACUCUCUUGGUAGAUAGUCAAUAGGAGUCAAUAGGAGUCAAUAGGGGUCAAUAUGAGUCAAUAGGUGUCAAUAGGGGUCAAUAUGAGUCAAUAGGGGUCAAUAGGAGUCAAUAGGGGUCAAUAGGGGUCAAUAGGGGUCAACAUAAUUCAAUUGGGGUCAACAUGAGUCAAUAUGAGUCAAUAGGGGUCAACAUGAGUCAAUAGGGGUCAACUGAGUCAAUAGGGGUCAAUUGGGGUCAACAUGAGUCAAUAGGGGUCAAUUAGAGUCAAUAGGGGUCAACAUGAGUCAAUAGGGGUCAAUAGCGGUCAAUUGGGGUCAACAUGAGUCAAUAGGGGUCAACAUGAGUCAAUAGGGGUCAAUAGGGGUCAAUUGGGGUCAACAUGAGUCAAUAGGGGUCAAUAUGAGUCAAUAGGGGUCAACAUGAGUCAAUAGGGGUCAAUAGGGGUCAAUUGGGGUCAACAUGAGUCAAUAGGGGUUAAUAUGAGUCAAUAGGGGUCAACAUGAGUCAAUAGGGGUCAACAUGAGUCAAUAGGGGUCAACAUGAGUCAAUAGGGGUCAAUAGAGGUCAAUUGGGGUCAACAUGAGUCAAUAGGAGUCAAUAGGGGUCAAUAUGAGUCAAUAGGGGUCAAUAGAGGUCAAUAGGGGUCAAUAGAGGUCAACAGGAGUCAAUAGAGGUCAAUAGAGGUCAAUAGAGGUCAAUAGGGGUCAACAGGAGUCAAUAGAGGUCAAUAGAGGUCAAUAGGGGUCAAUAGGGGUCAAUAGAGGUCAAUAGGGGUCAAUAGGGG
rnacentral:lncRNA from 1 species